CCCCCCAGCCCGAGUACUACAUGUUUGUCGCCAUCGGCAUCGGCUGCGUCGCCGGUUACUUCCUCACCGACAUGGUCAAGAAGGCUGCGCUCACCCUCAUCUACUCCGUCCUCGGCGGCGUCCUCCUCGGCUCUGCCGUUUCCUUCACCUUCUGGAAGUACCACCUGGCCCACGGCGACCUCUGGCUCGAGAACAUCACCUCCAACGACGUCACCCUCGACCUCACCCAGUGGCCGGUGCUCGUGUCCAUCGGCACCAUGGUGGCUGGCGCGCUGUUCGGCAUCUGGUUCCAGAACAAGAGCGCGAAGAAGGCUGAGAAGGAGCCCCUCCUCAAGAAGGGCGACGAC
rnacentral:lncRNA from 1 species